CUUGGUCAUUUAGAGGAAGUAAAAGUCGUAACAAGGUUUCCCCUUUACAUAAGUUAGGAACAUGAUUCUUCUGUUAGUAUACUUAUAGAAGCCUUAGCAUUCCAGCAAUGGGAGGCCACGCGACCGAAAAUAAAGUGGCUGCUUGCUAGUUGACAUUAGGUCAGCAACACAACCGGACUGUUUGGGAAUACUUGUGUGCAGUCUUGCACUAUGAGCAACCCACAGCGAAUAUCUCAGAGGCACCCUGACUGCUCUGAGAGAACGUUCACAGACUAAGUGGUUGUGGGUGGAGCAUUUAUAUGCUCUAUUUAAGAUAUAGUCGGGCCUGAUGGUACUCUAUCAGCUUGUGAAGUCAUUAUUCAUUGCCCUAUUGGAUAAUGACCCAACUUGAUUACACCGUUCCGUAGGUGAACCUGCGGAAGGAUCAUUACAGAGAACAUGCCCUUUGGGUACAUCUCCCACCCUUUGUUUACAAUACCUGUUGCUUUGGCGUGCCCGUCUUUUGACCGCUGGCUUUUAGCUGGUCAGAGCCCGCCAGAGGACCCCAAAACCCUUUUAUUAUGUUGUCUAAGUACCAUACAAUAGUUAAAACUUUCAACAACGGAUCUCUUGGUUCUGGCAUCGAUGAAGAACGCAGCGAAAUGCGAUAAGUAAUGUGAAUUGCAGAAUUCAGUGAAUCAUCGAAUCUUUGAACGCACCUUGCGCCCUUUGGCCAUUCCGAAGGGCAUGCCUGUUUGAGUAUCAUGAACACCUCAACUCUUCAUGGUUUUCCGUGAUGAGCUUGGACUUUGGGGGUUUUGCUGGCCCAUGGUCGGCUCCUCUAAAAUGAAUCAGCUUGCCAGUGUUUGGUGGCAUCACAGGUGUGACAACUAUCUACGCUUGUGGUUUUCCACCAGGUAACCUUCAGCAGUGGAGGUUCGCUGGAGCUCACAGACGUCUCUCCUCAGUGAGGACAGCCCUUUGAAUGUUUGAUCUCAAAUCAGGCAGGACUACCCGCUGAACUUAAGCAUAUCAAUAAGCGGAGGA
rnacentral:rRNA from 1 species